GUGGGGAAUAUUGGACAAUGGGCGAAAGCCUGAUCCAGCCAUGCCGCGUGUGUGAAGAAGGUCUUCGGAUUGUAAAGCACUUUAAGUUGGGAGGAAGGGUAGUAACCUAAUACGUUGCUACUUUGACGUUACCGACAGAAUAAGCACCGGCUAACUUCGUGCCAGCAGCCGCGGUAAUACGAAGGGUGCAAGCGUUAAUCGGAAUUACUGGGCGUAAAGCGCGCGUAGGUGGUUCAGUAAGUUGGAAGUGAAAUCCCCGGGCUCAACCUGGGAACUGCGUUCAAAACUGCUGAGCUAGAGUACGGUAGAGGGUGGUGGAAUUUCCUGUGUAGCGGUGAAAUGCGUAGAUAUAGGAAGGAACACCAGUGGCGAAGGCGACCACCUGGACUGAUACUGACACUGAGGUGCGAAAGCGUGGGGAGCAAACAGGAUUAGAAACCCCAGUAGUCC
rnacentral:rRNA from 1 species